AAGAGAAGGGGUUGGGACUCGGCUCCGAAGGCCGAAGAGCUCUUUAAACCUCCGGGCUGCAGCCGCACCGCCGCUCUGAGCGGUGCUUCAGGGGCCAGAGAGCCGCGCAACUCCCGGCACAGCGCUGCGGCUCCGUGGAGCGAUAAAUAACUCCGCUCAGGUACUUUUUCUUUCAGGGAGUCGCACAAAUUGGCCCGUGUUGACAGAUGUUUGUCACUUAGUAACUUCUUUCCAAGUUUUUUUUUUCUUUUUUUUUUUUCUUUUUUUCUUUUUUCCCCUCCCUCUUCCCUCCUCUAAGCCUUCUUCCGAGCCCGCUUUGUUGUUUUAAAAUAUGCAUGUCUCUCAGGAAUGCGAGUCACGAGUCCAAACUUCGUGUCCAACCUCCCACAAGAAAUGAUCCUUUUAUAGGGAACCCGAUAUGUCUCAAUCUGCACUUCACUCAAAGCCGCUGUAUACGGGGCGCCGCUCCCUGCGCGCAAAUCACCGCGCCGGAGCGCAUUUCCAACCCCCCCCUCCUCCCCCCCUAAAAAAACAAAACAAAACAAAACAAAAAAAAGACCACAAAAACCAAAAAACAAAAACCCCACGCAUGGCUCCCGGGAAGGGAACACAGUUCCCAUGGUAUGGCGAGAGGGGAGUGCAGCCUGGAGGAAGGCAAAAAUAUAUAAGAAAGGGAAAAUAAGGGGAAAAAAAAGGAGAAAGUUUUAUUGCCGCGCGAGCCGCUCAGGGCCUUCGCAAGCAGUGGGUUUGCCAAGGACGUGCCCCUGCGCAGCUCCGGGUGCGUGGGGAGACGACGUCAGAUCGUGGCGUGAGGAGGAGAGAUGGAGGAGCAGAGCCCAGCUUCGGGGAAAGGGGGAAAAGAAAAGGAAAAAAAGAAAGGGAAAAAAAAAAAAAGUGUUCCACUAUAUACACAGAUAACAAAACGUGUCACAUCUUCACUUAUUGCCGGAACAGAGCCGUGCCCUCAUCUGAACGCAUCCAAACACCUCCGAAGUGAUUAUUGGAUUCCUCUCUGAUAAAUCAGUUUGUGAAACCGAACCGGGAGCACACAGACAAAAAGAUACGUGUCACAGACUCUUUGCAAAAAGCCAGGAGACAGCAGAGACCCUUUACUGCUGCAAACGAAGGAAGAGUCAACGCCAUUAAAAAAAAUAAUGAAGGAGAACCCACCCAUACCUGCGUGCUGCAGGGUGCGGCGGUCCCCGCCCCACCGCCGUGCCCCGUGCCCAUCUCCCGACCCUGGCUGUGCUGCAUCACAAGUCCGCACAAGCGACGGAGCGAUAAAUCCUACAAAAAAUAAGACAGAUCUCUUCAUCGAUGUGUAAUAAAGUUAAAGGACAUUGUUUUGUCAGACAAGCGCUAAGUAGAAAAUAAAUCUUUGGGUCUGGGGAAACAAAACGCAGUGCUGUUGGCAUGUGUGUAAAUUUACUUUUAAAAGCAAUAAAUCAAUGUUAAAUUAAA